rnacentral:rRNA from 1 species
CCUACGGGAGGCAGCAGUGAGGAAUAUUGCCCAAUGGACGCAAGUCUGAGGCAGCAACGCCGCGUGAGCGAUGAAGGCCUUCGGGUUGUAAAGCUCUUUUCUGGGGGACGAGGAAGGACGGUACCUCAGGAAUAAGUCACGGCUAACUACGUGCCAGCAGCCGCGGUAAUACGUAGGUGGCGAGCGUUAUCCGGAUUUACUGGGCGUAAAGCGCGUGCAGGCGGUUUCGUAAGUCGGACGUGAAAGCUCCUGGCUUAACUGGGAGAGGCCGUUCGAUACUGCGGGACUUGAGGUCGGGAGAGGGACGUGGAAUUCCCGGUGUAGUGGUGGAAUGCGUAGAUAUCGGGAGGAACACCAGUGGCGAAGGCGGCGUCCUGGCCCGCACCUGACGCUAAGACGCGAAAGCGUGGGUAGCGAACGGGAUUAGAUACCCCGGUAGUCCACGCCGUAAACGGUGGAUACUAGGUGUUGGUGGCUAUCGUCAUCAGUGCCGUAGCUAACGCGUUAAGUAUCCCGCCUGGGGACUACGGCCGCAAGGCUAAAACUCAAAGGAAUUGACGG